GAUGAACGCUGGCGGCGUGCCUAAUACAUGCAAGUCGAGCGAACAGAUGAGGAGCUUGCUCCUCUGACGUUAGCGGCGGACGGGUGAGUAACACGUGGAUAACCUACCUAUAAGACUGGGAUAACUUCGGGAAACCGGAGCUAAUACCGGAUCAUAUAUUGAACCGCAUGGUUCAAUAGUGAAAGACGGUUUUGCUGUCACUUAUAGAUGGAUCCGCGCCGCAUUAGCUAGUUGGUAAGGUAACGGCUUACCAAGGCAACGAUGCGUAGCCGACCUGAGAGGGUGAUCGGCCACACUGGAACUGAGACACGGUCCAGACUCCUACGGGAGGCAGCAGUAGGGAAUAUUCCGCAAUGGGCGAAAGCCUGACGGAGCAACACCGCGUGAGUGAUGAAGGUCUUCGGAUCGUAAAACUCUGUUAUUAGGGAAGAACAAAUGUGUAAGUAAAUAUGCACGUCUUGACGGUACCUAAACAGAAAGCAACGGCUAACUACGUG
rnacentral:rRNA from 1 species